rnacentral:sRNA from 1 species
GAUCCCAGCUGGCUACUGCUUUGUAGAAUUUGCAGAUUUGGCCACAGCUGAGAAGUGUUUGCAUAAAAUUAAUGGGAAACCCCUUCCAGGAGCCACACCUGCGAAACGUUUUAAACUGAACUAUGCCACUUAUGGGAAACAACCAGAUAACAGCCCUGAGUAUUCCCUCUUUGUGGGGGACCUGACCCCGGACGUGGAUGAUGGCAUGCUGUAUGAAUUCUUCGUCAAAGUCUACCCCUCCUGUCGGGGAGGCAAGGUGGUUUUGGACCAGACAGGCGUGUCUAAGGGUUAUGGUUUUGUGAAAUUCACAGAUGAACUGGAACAGAAGCGAGCCCUGACGGAGUGCCAGGGAGCAGUGGGACUGGGGUCUAAGCCUGUGCGGCUGAGCGUGGCAAUCCCUAAAGCGAGCCGUGUAAAGCCAGUGGAAUAUAGUCAGAUGUACAGUUAUAGCUACAACCAGUAUUAUCAGCAGUACCAGAACUACUAUGCUCAGUGGGGCUAUGACCAGAACACAGGCAGCUACAGCUACAGUUACCCCCAGUAUGGCUAUACCCAGAGCACCAUGCAGACAUAUGAAGAAGUUGGAGAUGAUGCAUUGGAAGAGGCAGGGUUUCACCAUGUUGCCCAGGCUGGUCUUGAACUCCUAGGUUCAAGUGAUCUGCCCAUCUCGGCCUUCCAAAGUGCUGGCAUUAUAGGCAUGAGCCACUGCUCCUGGCCAAAACUUUAUUUGAGACCCCAUGCCACAGCUGGAUGUGACUGAGGCCAACAAGGAGUUCAUGGAACAGAGUGAGGAGCUGUAUGACGCUCUGAUGGACUGUCACUGGCAGCCCCUGGACACAGUGUCUUCAGAGAUCCCUGCCAUGAUGUAGCCAGGCCAAAGGACAAGCCAGGUUGCGUGAUGUGAGGGAGAUGAGAGACUCCUUUUUAAAAAUUGUGAAACCUUUUUGGAAAUAUGAUUUGUAAGAUUUUAAUGACUGUUUCUGGAGAUCAUGAAUGUUUCUACAA